rnacentral:rRNA from 1 species
AACGAACGCUGGCGGCAUGCCUAACACAUGCAAGUCGAACGAGACCUUCGGGUCUAGUGGCGCACGGGUGCGUAACGCGUGGGAACCUGCCCUUAGGUUCGGUAUAACUCCCCGAAAGGGGUGCUAAUACCGGAUAAUGUCUUCGGACCAAAGAUUUAUCGCCUUUGGAUGGGCCCGCGUUGGAUUAGCUAGUUGGUAGGGUAAAAGCCUACCAAGGCGACGAUCCAUAGCUGGUCUGAGAGGAUGAUCAGCCACACUGGGACUGAGACACGGCCCAGACUCCUACGGGAGGGAGCAGUGGGGAAUAUUGGACAAUGGGCGAAAGUCUGAUCCAGCAAUGCCGGGUGAGUGAUGAAGGCCUUAGGGUUGUAAAGCUCUUUUACACGGGAUGAUAAUGACAGUACCGGGAGAAUAAGCUCCGGCUAACUACGUG